AUACGUAGGGAGCGAGCGUUGUCCGGAAUCAUUGGGCGUAAAGAGCAUGUAGGUGGAUCAAUAAGUCUGCUGUGAAAGUCGAAGGCUCAACCUUCGAAAGCCGGUGGAUACUGUUGAUCUAGAGUACGGAAGAGGCGAGUGGAAUUCCUGGUGUAGCGGUGGAAUGCGCAGAUAUCAGGAGGAACACCAAUAGCGAAGGCAGCUCGCUGGGACGUAACUGACACUGAGAUGCGAAAGCGUGGGGAGCAAACAGGAUUAGAUACCCUGGUAGUCCACGCCGUAAACGAUGGGUACUAGAUGUGGGAGGUGUCGACUCCUUCCGUAUCGUAGCUAACGCACUAAGUACCCCGCCUGGGGAGUACGGCCGCAAGGCUAAA
rnacentral:rRNA from 1 species